UUUAUCAUAAGCGACCUGAUAAAGACAAAGCACUAAAGAAAUACAGAAAAUUGAAACUUAGACUAGAUGAUUUUAUGGAAGAAAUGAGGAAAACAG
rnacentral:lncRNA from 1 species